UACGUAGGUGGCAGGCGUUGUCCGGAUUUAUUGGGCGUAAAGCGAGCGCAGGCGGUUCCUUAAGUCUGAUGUGAAAGCCCACGGCUCAACCGUGGAAGGUCAUUGGAAACUGGGGAACUUGAGUGCAGAAGAGGAGAGUGGAAUUCCAUGUGUAGCGGUGAAAUGCGUAGAUAUAUGGAGGAACACCAGUGGCGAAGGCGACUCUCUGGUCUGUAACUGACGCUGAGGCUCGAAAGCGUGGGGAGCAAACAGGAUUAGA
rnacentral:rRNA from 1 species